GGCCUAAUUAAAUAAAUCAUUGUGUUGUAUUUUUUAUAUAUAAUUAUUUAUUGUUAUUUUGGAUUUCAUAUCAAUUAAUAGAUAAUCUUGCGAUAUUAAUAAUUUAGUGGCAAAUCAUUUAGCCCACUAGACAUUGGUUUGCUUAUAGGAUGAAGGAGUGUAGCACCUUCUGAUAGAUCGAGAAAGCCAAGGUCCCCCUAUCCCGAGUAAAUAUUCGUUGCAAUGGUAAUAUCACAUCAAACUUGUAAUAGGCCAAUCAAA
rnacentral:lncRNA from 1 species